UUAUAAAGAAUUUAAUAAAAAUAUUUUUAAAAAUUUUAAUUAUUAAUUAAAUAAUAAAUUAAUUUAUUUAAAAAUUAUUUAAAUUUAUUGAUUUUAAAAAAUUUUUUAAAAAACUAGGAUUAGAUACCCUAUUAUUAAACUUAAAUAAAAUAUUAAAAUAUUAAAUAUUAAUUUAUUAAAUUUAAAAAAAUUGACGGUAUUUUUAAUUUAGAUGAACUUAAAAUUUAAUUUGAUAAUAAACAAUUUUAUAAACUAAUUUUAUAUUUUUAUAUAUUACUGUUUAAAUUUAAUUUUUUAAUUAAAAUUUAAAUUUUUUAAAAAAAAAUUCAAGUCUAAAUAUAAAUAAUAAAUUAGAAUUUUAGAGUUACUUAAAAAUUUAAUAUAAUUUUAUUUUUUAAUAAAAUAAAUAAAUAUUUUUUAAUAUUUAAAAAAAUAAAAAUUAGAAUUUAAUAAUAAAAUUUUUUAAAUAAAAAUUUUAAAAAUUAUUUUUAAAUAUGUACAUAUUGCCCGUCAUUUUUAUAAAAUUUUUAUAAAACAAGUCGUAACAAAGUAAUAUUACUGGAAAGUAAAAUUAGAAUU
rnacentral:rRNA from 1 species